AUGCUAUGGAUGUGGGAGCAUCAACUCCGUUCCUUUGGGCUUUUGAGGAGCGGGAGAAAUUGUUGGAAUUCUAUGAAAGAGUCCCGGGAGCCAGGAUGCAUGCCAGUCAUACGACCUGGUGGAGUGGCACAAGAUCUGCCUCUUGGCUUAUGUCGAGAUAUUGAUUCCUCCACACAACAAUUUGCUUCUCGUAUCGACGAAUUAGAAGAGAUGUCAACCGGCAACCGUAUCUGGAAACAACGAUUAGUGGAUAUUGGUACUGUCACUGCACAACAAGCAAAGGAUUGGGGAUUCAGUGGUGUAAUGUUAAGAGGUCGUGCGACAUGA
rnacentral:rRNA from 1 species